GAGCGAUGAUUAAAUCUACACGCUUGUGAUGGUAGGGUCUAUCACUAUCUUCUGAUUUAAGGAAGAGAAUGGGUGCGGCUGAGCUC
rnacentral:snoRNA from 9 species